UGGGGAAUAUUGGACAAUGGGCGAAAGCCUGAUCCAGCCAUGCCGCGUGUGUGAAGAAGGUCUUCGGAUUGUAAAGCACUUUAAGUUGGGAGGAAGGGCAGUAAGCGAAUACCUUGCUGUUUUGACGUUACCGACAGAAUAAGCACCGGCUAACUCUGUGCCAGCAGCCGCGGUAAUACAGAGGGUGCAAGCGUUAAUCGGAAUUACUGGGCGUAAAGCGCGCGUAGGUGGUUCGUUAAGUUGAAUGUGAAAGCCCCGGGCUCAACCUGGGAACUGCAUCCAAAGCUGGCGAGCUAGAGUAGGGCAGAGGGUGGUGGAAUUUCCUGUGUAGCGGUGAAAUGCGUAGAUAUAGGAAGGAACACCAGUGGCGAAGGCGACCACCUGGGCUGAUACUGACACUGAGGUGCGAAAGCGUGGGGAGCAAACAGG
rnacentral:rRNA from 1 species